CCUCUGCCACUUGGGUUCAAGCAAUUCUCCUGCCUCAGCCUCCCGAGUAGCUGGGAUUACAGGUGCCUGCCACCAUGCCUGGCUAAUUUUUUGUAUUUUAGUAGAGACGGGGUUUCACCGUGUUGCCCAGGCUGGUCGCAAACUCCUGAGCUCAGGCAAUCUGACCGCCUUGGUCUCCCAAGGUGCUGGGAUUAGAGACGUGAGCCACCACUCCCGGCCGAAUUCAAAUUUCAAUCUACCCACCCUAUUGCAUGUACCCCACAUACACACACGUCCACACACACAUACAUACUUCUCACUGAUACGUUAAAAAAAAUCUUAGUAUUCUAAGACAGGCCAAUGCUUGGAAACGGGGAAACAAAGAUAUAAUAAAUAAGGCUAUAAACAUUAAUAAAUGUAAAUAAAAAAGAGUAAUCAAUUGUUAUAGGAGAUACAGUCAUAUAUUAUAUUGGAUAUAAUGGGACUGCAGAGUAGGGAAUGCCCUGCUUUUUCAAGAGCAUCAGUAGAGCUUUCAUGGAGAAGACUAGACUCUCAAUUUUGAAAGGCGACCAACCACUCAUUGAAGACAGGUAUUGACAGGUAGUUAGCAGAUAAUAAUUGAAUGUAAAAUUAGACUACUGAUGUAAAGUUUUUCAAAGUAUGUUUGUCAGAAUAUUAGAUUCAUAGGAUUUUUUUUUUAAAGACCUGUCUAAAUAAGCUAGGCAAACAACCUAAAUAGGUUAAACAAAGAAAUACGAUUUGGAUUUCUUCUCGAUUGUCUUAUUACAUAGCUCACUGCAGAAUAUCUCAAAGUUUUCUCUUUGCUGAUGAGACAUGACUUUCCAAGCUGGUGGGACUAUAGAGCUUGUUUUGAAAAUUAUUAAAAUGCCUUUACCUAGGUAGAAUUUCUUAGGACAUGGUCCUCCAAAAGAGCCCCUUUUGCAGAUGCUGUUUUGGGGUCUUUCGUCUUCUGAUACAUGUGUAAUGUGAAUUUCAAGAUGUUAAUCAUUUUUCACAAUUGUCACUUCAGUGUGUUUAUUACAUCUUAUUAUAGAAUACUUCCUUUUGAUAAUUCUCCAAACUGGAUGACCACAUGGUUCUGUACAGCUCCUUCUAAGGCUUGUCUCAUUUCAGCUAAUUAUGCACUUAGAUAAUCAGUCACUGUCCAGUCUCCAAACAAAUACAUUUCUAGGAAUUUGUGCUCUCAAGAGUCAAAUGGACAUUCCUUCAUUAACGAAGAUGUGGUAUUAGCUUUAAGUGGCCUUUCUUCUAUUAUUGAAGAUAAGUACAAGAAAUAAGUAUAGGAAAAUUUAAAAAGGAGCUAACGUCAUUCUUAGUUUUCAAAGCUUUUUGAGUGAAACAGCUCUAGCUGUAGAAGAAGGGACUCUAGGGAAAACAACAACAAAAUAACACAAUGAAAAAUACAAAGGAAAUAUAAUUAACAACAAUCAAAAUCUUCGUGACUCUUUUCCCACCUGCCCAUGUAGAAUCUCAGCUUUUUCAUAGUUUUCAUUGUUUUUCUGGGAGUUCCCAGUGGAUUUGUCACAUGAGCUUGAGAAAAAUCUCAUCUUGAAGGUGGUACUGCUGCUGUGUUGCUAGGCAUCUGCUGUGUGCCAUUUUUUUGAGGCCCAACUUAUACUUAAAGCACCAAAUCCAUUUAGACUCCAAAACUGUGCAAUGUGCAUUUGUAACACGUGGGUGAAUACUCCAUCCUAUUAGUGCUACUUCCAAUGAUAGAGUUUCCAAAUCAGCAAUAAUGGUGUCCCAGUUUCUCACAGUUCUUGGUGAAAACAAAAGCAGACAAACAAAACCUAUUUUAGUUUCCAGUGCUCUCUCAAAUACAUUAUCACAAUUUAUCUCCACAACAAGGGGGUAAAACAGGUAUCAUUAUUCUCAUUUUAUACAUGAAGAAUGUGAGGCAAAAUGGAUAUCAAAACAAGAGUCCUUUUGUUCUGUUCACAUGUUCUCUGAAGCACCAUUUUCCAGGGUGGAAACCACUUCCAAAUAGGCUUGGAAUAGAUCUUAGCAGAAUCCAAAAUAUUGGUAUCUAUGUUAAGGAAAAAUAGUUACAGCUGUCUUUCCAUAUCCUCGGCUUCCUCUUUGCAGAUUCCACAAUAAAAAUACGUGAAAAAUAAAAAAUAGCAAUACAUCAAUAAAAAAUAACUUAAAAGCAAUGCAGUGUUACAACUAUUUACAUAGUAUUUACAUUGUAUUAGGUAUUAAAAGUAAACUAGAGGUGAUUUAAAGUAUACAGGAUGAUGUGUGUAGGUUAUAUGCAAGUAUUACAAAAUUUUAUCUCAGAGACACAAGCAUCUGUGGAUUUUGGUAUCCGUGGGGUUCCUGAAAUCCAUCCCUGAUGACUAUUGAGAGAAUACUGUACUCGUCAAGCUGUUACUAUACUAGUAAAAUCAUUUAUUGCUUUAUGAUAUUGACAUGGAAUCUGCUGAGCAAUUGCUAGUACUUCUCAGGGUUUCUGCUGUGGCACUUGUCCAACAUCAUAGGAUCCCUCCUUCUGAGGACUGUGAUGUUUCCUGUAAGCCUCUUAAAACUCCCCAACUCUGGUGCCAACUUAGACAAUACUCUAUUAAGCACUCCUUUUUAGUUAUCCCCACCUGCCCAGUUCCCUUAUUAGGCCGAGACACAGUAACUAAAUUAUCUGCUUCCGUGACUAUUCCUGGGCCACAGCCACACCUCAUUGCUGCCUUUUCCCCCAGUUCAAAGCCUCCUUCACAUCCUCCCCUUUGUCUCUCCACCUUAACCCACAAGUAUAAGACACCUCUACUCCCUCCUUAGUGACUGAUCAUGCACCCCUUACCAUCCCUUUGAAACCUAAUCACUCUUACCCCGCUCAAUGCCAAUAUCCCAUCCCACAGCACACUUUAAAAGGAUUAAAGCCUAUUAUCACUUGCCUGCUACAGCAUGGCCUUUUAAAGCCUAUAAACUCUCCUUACAAUUCCCCCAUUUUACCUGUCCUAGAACCAGACAAGCGUUACAGGUUAGUUCAGGAUCUGAGCCUUAUCCACCAAAUUGUUUUGCCUAUCCACCCCGUGGUGCCAAAAUACUCUCCUAUCCUCAAUACCUCCCUCCACAACCCAUUAUUCUGUUCUAGAUCUCAAACAUGCUUUCUUUACUAUUCCUUUGCACCCUUCAUCCCAGCCUCUCUUCGCUUUCACUUGCACUGACCCUGACACCCAUCAGGCUCAGCAAAUUACCUAGGCUUUACUGCCACAAAGCUUCACAGACAGCCCCCAUUACUUCAGUCAAGCCCAAAUUUCUUCCUCAUCUGUUACCUAUCUCAGCGUAAUUCUCAUAAAAACACACAUGCUCUCCCUUGAUCAUGUCCAGCUGAUCUCUCAAACCCCCAACACCUUCUACAAAACAACAACUUCUUUCCUUCCUAGGCAUGGUUAGAUACUUUCGACUUUAGAUACCUGGUUUUGCCAUCCUAACAAAACCAUUAUAUAAACUCAGAAAAAGAAACCUAG
rnacentral:lncRNA from 10 species